rnacentral:rRNA from 1 species
AGGGUGUAAACGCUGCAGACUUGGUGUUGGGGCCCUUUGGGGCAUUCAGUGCCGGAGAGAAGUUGUUAAGUCUGCUACUUGGGAGUACGUCCGCAAGGAUGAAACUUAAAGGAAUUGGCGGGGAGCACCGCAACGGGAGGAGCGUGCGGUUUAAUUGGAUUCAACACCGUAAACUCACCAGGGAAGACUGUUACAUGAAAGCCGAGAUGAAGACUCUGCUAGAUUUUCAGAGAGGAGGUGCAUGGCGUCAGUGACU